AUGUGCUCAUUCACCGUUCACCCGGUCGUGCUGCAGCUGUUCCUGCUGCUCUUCUUAGCCUCUCCCGCCACUGCAUGCACCGAACAGGAGAAGCGCAAUCUCCUCCAGUUCAUUGCUGGACUGUCGCGUGAUGGUGGCAUCGCCACGUCCUGGCACAACAGCGGCACAGACUGCUGCGAGUGGGAAGGCAUCUCCUGCAAUGGAGAUGGGGCCGUCACUGGGGUCUCCCUGGAGUCUAAAGGACUUGAAGGGCCCAUCUCACCGUUCCUCGCCAACCUCACCAGCCUGCUGCGUGUUAACCUCUCGCACAACUCAUUCUCCGGUGGUCUACCAGCGGAGCUCGUGUUCUCUGGAAGCAUCAUCGUCCUCGAUGUCAGCUUCAGCCGGCUCAAGGGACCGCUGCCCGAGUUUCCGUCCUUGGUUACCACCGACCGGCCUCUGCAGGUACUCAACAUCUCAAGCAACCAGUUCAGCUCGCAAUUUCCAUCAGCCAGAUGGAAGGUGAUGAACAGUCUGAUCGCGCUCAACGCCAGCAAUAACAGCUUCACUGGGAACAUACCGCCUUCUCUCUGCCUUGGGUCGCCAUAUUUAGCUUUGCUUGAUCUCUGUUACAACCAAUUGAGUGGUGACAUACCAAACACGUUGGGUAAUUGUUCCAAGCUCAAAGUGCUCAAGGCUGGCAACAACAACCUAAGUGGGAUUCUCCCUGUUGAUACCUUCCGCGCUACCUCGCUGGAGUACCUCUCCUUCCCCAACAAUGGUUUACAUGGAGAACUUGAUGGAGCACAUAUAGUCAAACUCAGUAAUCUAGCUACUCUUGACCUUGGAGGGAAUCACUUCAGUGGCAAGAUUCCACAGUCGAUAGGUCUGCUCAAGAGGCUGGAGGAGCUGCAUUUGGGUAGCAAUGACAUGUCUGGGGAGCUGCCAUCAACACUGGGCAACUGUACAAAUCUCAAAAUCAUUGAUCUGAAGUUCAACAACUUCAGUGGAGAUCUGGGGAAGGUAAACUUCGCUGCCCUACAGAAUCUAAAAAGUUUAGAUCUCCUGAGGAACAAUCUCGGUGGUAUAAUUCCAGAAAGCAUUUACUCAUGCAGCAAUUUGACAGCACUGCGGCAGUCGGAGAACCAUUUCCAUGGUGAAAUCUCAUCAAGAAUUGGCAAUCUGAAGCACCUGUCCUUCCUAUCAAUUAGUAGAAACUCCUUUACAAAUAUCACAAAAGCUUUGCAUGCCCUUAAGAGCUGCAGGAAUAUCAGCGCCCUGGUUAUUGGCACAAACUUCAUGAAUGAGGCCAUGCCACAAGAUGAAACCAUUGAUGGUUUUCAGAAUCUUCAACUUCUUACCAUGGACUGGUGUUCGUUGACUGGAAGGAUACCUAUUUGGUUAUCAAAGCUCACAAAUUUGAAGAUACUACAAUUACACAGUAAUCGACUCACUGGAACGAUGCCAAGCUGGAUCAACUCACUAAAUUACCUCUUCAGUCUGGAUGUAUCAAACAACAGCCUUACUGGGACAAUCCCAAUCACCUUGAUGGAGAUGCCAAUGCUAAAAUCAGACAAUGCUGCCAUAUAUUUGGACCCAAACCUCGUUGAUCUACCAAUUUUUUAUGUGUACCCAUCAUUUCAGUACCGCAUGGGCAGUGAUUGGCCAAAAGUGCUGAAACUCGGUAAGAAUAAACUCACCGGUACAAUCCCCCAAGAGAUUGGUCAUCUGAAAGCACUCCUUUGCCUGGACUUGAGUUUCAACAACUUUUAUGGAGAGAUACCACAAUCAAUCUGCAACCUAACGAACCUGCAGAUCCUAGAUUUGUCUAAUAACCAUCUGACUGGUGAAAUUCCUGCGGCAUUUGAGACCCUUCACUUCCUUUCGGAGUUCAACAUGUCUAACAAUGACCUAGGAGGACCUAUUCCAACAACAGGCCAGCUGAGCACGUUUCCAACUUCUAGUUUUGACGGAAACCCGAAGCUGUGCGGCUCUCUGCUUAUUAGGGGUUGCAGUUCGGCUGAAGAAGCUCCCAAGUACAUCAUCUCUGCAAGAGAAUACAGCAUGAAGGUCAUCUUUGCGAUAUCAUUUGGUCUUUUCUUUGGGGUAGGGGUGCUAUAUGACCAGUUAGUAUUAUUCAGAUAUUUUGGCUAA
rnacentral:rRNA from 1 species